GAUGAACGCUAGCGGGAGGCUUAACACAUGCAAGUCGAGGGGUAAAUGGUAGCAAUACUAUGAGACCGGCGGACGGGUGCGUAACGCGUAUGCAACAUACCUUGUGCAGGGGGAUAGCCCGUGGAAACGCGGAUUAAUAUUCCAUAGUCCAGCUAUAUCGCAUGGUAUAGUUGGUAAAGAUUUAUCGGCACAAGUUUGGCAUGCGUCUGAUUAGCUUGUUGGUAGGGUAACGGCCUACCAAGGCUACGAUCAGUAGGGGUUCUGAGAGGAUUAACCCCCAACUGGUACUGAGACACGGACCAGACUCCUACGGGAGCAGCAGUGAGGAAUAUUGGUCAAUGGGCGGAAGCCUGAACCAGCCAUCCCGCGUGAAGGAAGACAGCCUUACGGGUUGUAAACUUCUUUUCUGUCAGAAGAAUAAGCUUGUCGAGACGAGUGAUGCCGGUAUGACAGGAAUAAGCAUCGGCUAACUCCGUGCCAGCAGCCGCGGUAA
rnacentral:rRNA from 1 species